rnacentral:lncRNA from 1 species
UUGACCUUUUGACCCUUGGUCAGGACUGGUCAAUGCCGGCCAAUUUAAAAUCCACAGGUUUUGACAACUCAUUGUGAAAACCUUCGGUUUGAUGAACGUAAGUCCCUGGGAGCUUUUAACUUCCAUAAAGUACUGAGAAAAUACAUAUUUAAUUUUCAAAAUAUCUUAAAAAAGCCUUAAUAAAAACUUUACACCCGGACCGAAAAACAAUUUACAAAAUAGUUUUAGCCUCCGGUAAACAGAUAUUGGGUUUCCAUUAUAGUAUUUCGCAAUAUUGCAUCAGCCGGUUACGACUAGUUUUAUCAAUACACAUAACAUUCUUUACUGUUUUAAGUAUUAUAACGAAAAAAGUGGAAUUUAAACAACUGAAAUGUAUUCAAGAAUUCUACAAAGAUAUUAUUAGCCAGACGAAUUACAACGUGAAAAAUCCAAGACUUUAUAAAGACAACGAACGUUUAACACAAAAUAUAUCAUCGGAAGACUUCAA